AGCAGUCGCCGCGGUAAUACGAAGGGUGCAAGCGUUACUCGGAAUUACUGGGCGUAAAGCGUGCGUAGGCGGCUUUUUAAGUCGGAUGUGAAAUCCCUGAGCUUAACUUAGGAAUUGCAUUCGAUACUGGGAAGCUAGAGUAUGGGAGAGGAUGGUAGAAUUCCAGGUGUAGCGGUGAAAUGCGUAGAGAUCUGGAGGAAUACCGAUGGCGAAGGCAGCCAUCUGGCCUAACACUGACGCUGAGGUACGAAAGCAUGGGGAGCAAACAGGAUUAGAUACCCCUGUAGUCCCUGUCUCUUAUAA
rnacentral:rRNA from 1 species